AUGGACAUUGGGAUGAGAUGGGUUUUCCUUAUUGCACUUGUAAAAGGUGUCCAGUGUGAGGUGCAGCUGGUGGAGUCUGGAGGAGGCUUGGUCCAGCCUGGAGGGUCUCUGAGACUCUCCUGUGUAGGAUCUGGAUUCACCUUCAGUGACUACUACAUGCACUGGGUCCGCCAGGCUCCAGGAAAGGGGCUGGAGUGGGUCGGUCUCAUUAGAAACAAAGCUAAUAGUUACAGCACAGCCUAUGCUGCAUCGGUGACAGGCAGAUUCACCAUCUCAAGAGAAGAUUCCAAAAGCACUGUUUAUCUGCAAAUGGACAGCCUGAAGUCCGAGGACACAGCCGUGUAUUACUGUGCAAGAGACACUGUGAGGGCAAGAGUGCAGGGGACCUCCACGGAGCACUGUGGACUCACCCAGCAGGUGGACCGCAGGGCAGCUGCAGUGGAAGGCAUGGCGGGGUUUCCCUCAGAAGCUGUGGUUUCCCACCAGGACCUGCCCCCCAAAAGCCUCCCAACACAGUAA